rnacentral:rRNA from 1 species
UGCGUAGGUGGUCUUGUAAGUCAGAAGUGAAAGGCUACGGCUUAACCGUAGUAAGCUUUUGAAACUGCAGGACUUGAGUGCAGGAGAGGAAAGUGGAAUUCCUAGUGUAGCGGUGAAAUGCGUAGAUAUUAGGAGGAACACCAGUGGCGAAGGCGACUUUCUGGACUGUUACUGACACUGAGACACGAAAGCGUGGGGAGCGAACA